rnacentral:misc_RNA from 1 species
ACAUCUUUGACAAAAAGAACAAAUUAAAUUUCUUGUCCUUAAAUAACUUAUUAAAAAUUUUAACCCAAGAAAAAUUAGUAUGUCACUGAAUUUGCGCAAAUUGAAUAUUUUAUUUAAAGCAGUUUUUAAAUGUUAAAGAUUUUAAAGAUAUUAAAAACUGUAAAGCAAGAAAAUUUAAGCAACAAAUAGCUGAAUUUACAGAAAUUAAAUAUUUUCAAGCAAUUGCAAUUCUUUCAAAUGUAUCAAUAAAGAUUUUUUAAUCACUAGAAAUUCCAAACUAAGAAAAUUGAGCAAGUCGCUAAUUUACAAAAAUUGAAAAGCCUUGAAAACAUAAAUUCUUGAGCAUAUAUAUAAAUAUAGAGAGCCUGCUUUGAAAAGGUAGGAGAACCAUGCAUUAUAUCUCUUUGCAAUAAUUUGCUGAUGCAACCUGUAAUACACAAAUAUGUAUUUCUCCGCAAUACUUUACGAUAAUGCGGAAUUAUACCGUAAUUUUACUAUGCAUCUUUGAUUAGCUUUAACUUCGAGAGACUAUGUUGUGACGACGCGAUGUCAUAGCAACCACCAGCGUGUAAACCCCCUGGUGUUAGUUGUAACUUACCCUCGGUUGUGUCGCGAUGCCGCUGAAUUCUUGAAACGUUCCGAAAAAUGUCAUUGUUCAAGACGAAAGAAUGGUGGAGAACGCAAUGCGGAGUGCACGAGUGUUUCGACAGACGCAGCUUGUUGGUCACGCCGUUGUUCGGCGCCGACCGGAAGGACAUCGUUGUCGUCGGCAGCCACGGCGGUUACCUUCGGAUAUACAAUCCAUCCUCACAAUGGAUAGACGAAACCAAAUCGCCGAGCGGCUACGAGUCCUCGGAUCUAAUCAUCGAGACACAAGUCGGCGAUUGUAUUGUUGACAUGAAGGCGGGAAAAUUUGUCUCAGGCUCGCAAGACACUCAACUCGCAAUACUGACAUCAAAAAAACUCAUCAUUUAUAGCAUAAUUUUGAGUCAGGGCUCCGCUGAACAUGGGGACCAUUGCGACCUGCAAAUCGCUUACGAGCAUCUGCUACAGCGAUUUCCGGCGUCCCUGACAACGGGACCGUUUGGCGGUGUGCGGGGUCGGGACUUCCUCUGUGUUCAGUGCUUGGAUGGUACGCUUCUCUUCUACGAGCAAGAGACUCCCACCUUCAGCCUGGUUCUCGGGAAUCGGUUGCUGCCGGAGCCGAUCAUCUACGUUUCGCGGAACGACAUCUUCGUGACGCCGAGCUCCUCAUGGAUCCUCGAGUGCUACAGGUACAAGAGCAUGGCAGAAUUUGGAAGCAAGGAACGCUCGGAGGAACCAAAAAACUUAGAACCGGACUGGAGUUACAAUAUCGGUGAAGCCGUUCUCGAUAUCGAUACUGUUACCUUGAGCAGCUUCGAAGUCGGGAUUCUUAUACUUGGCGAGAAGAAUCUGUAUUGUCUCAAAGAUAAUUGCGUCACUCUGAAAUACGCGAAACGGCUCGAGUACAAGGCACUCUGCUUUCAAGCUUACGUGAUAGAACCGGAUGGCAAGUUGAUGGUGCUUGUAAUCGCUGACACGAACACCCUGAUGAUUUACGAGGGUACGACUCUUAAGUGGUCAGCCCAACUGCCUUUUACUCCGGUCGCCGUAACUCGAGCGCAUUUUCAGCACUUAGACGGAACGAUCGUCGUUCUUUCAGAAGAGGGCCAGCUAGAGGCUUGCUACUUGGGCUCGGAGCCGUCGUUAUUUAUCGCGCCUCCUCUACACCGACGCGGUUACGAUUACGUAGCCGCUGAAGAUGAGCUCAUGGAACUCCGCAAGUUGGCAAAAAGAAAUAAGGCUUCCGGCAGUCAACUCAGUGACGUCACCAUGGACGCUGAGUUAAUAAUAACCGUAACCGUAUCUGCGGAUCUGGAACCCAGUCCACGCGGAAAUCAGGAUGACUCUAAGGACGAUUCAGAGGGUCGUAAUUUAAUGUGCAGGAUUACCAUAGAAUUAUCCACGUACACGACGCUUCACGACGUUCAAGUGUGCGUGGACGUCUCAAAGCCGUUCGUCUCCGAGAAGAAUUGUCAUGUUAUUAACAAUCUCUGUGACCGGCAAAUUCUACGCACGAUGAUCUACGCGACGACGGAUCUGCCGGCGAUGUCAUCGGACGUGAGAAUCUCGGCGAGCUACAAGACGGGGGAUCGUGGGAGCCUGCGCGUACUUCAGAAGAUGGCCCAACUGCCCCUGAAGAUGAUGCUGAGGGCCUGCCCACCCGAGAAUACGUCCACCUUCACGGCGACCAUCAAGUGCAGCGAGCCCCUCGUGGCUUUUAGCCAGCUGUUUCCCGAAUUUACAGGAGACGUACAAAGGCAAAAUUGGAAUGCGCUUGGUUUGCAACACGUGCAAACUGGCAGCGUGGUGACAAUUGCUUCCGGCGCUACCAGCAAUCGUUAUCGCGUGCAGUCGAAUGAUGGACCUUCAAUGGCCUUGGUGGUCCAGCAAUUGAUGAGUAGACUCAAAGACAAAGCUACCGGAAAUUUUACGACUGCUAUCGCGCAAAAUCACAUACAACUGGUCCAGUCUCAAAUGGAGGCGCACUAUCGUAGUCGCCAGGAAGCGGACAAAAUCGCGAGUGAAAUCGGGCUGCUGUCGACCCAGUUGAGAAACAUCGAGAGGAGGAUGCUGCGCGCCGUAAGGGAGCGGAACACCCGAUCUCUGGCUACGACUGGACUGCCGUUCCUCUUGGAGUCGACCUAUCGCGCGAUCUCUGCGCUCCUGGAUGAUCUCGCGAUUGCACGAACGCCUUUCAGCAUGUUCAACACAAACCGGAUCUCGAACGGGAACGCGCCGGCCACGGUCUGCAGUGCGCCGUAAGGUUACUGCUCCUGCUGCUGCGGCUUAACGUGAACGACGAUAAGUACGCAAUGCUCGAAGCCGCGAUCGGAUUCGAGUCGUCGCAGCUGCGCGACGAGCUUGACUGGGAAGAGAUAGCCGAUGUCUGCCUGAGCACUUUCCUACGUUCCACAUCGAGAAAAGCCACGGGUCACCUGGACGCAAAACCUACGCUAUUAACCAAAAUGACGUCUACCAAAGAAUU